GAAAAGAAACCAGGAAGUUGCCUACCAAGAUGCCUCUGGCAAAACCUUCCUGAACAGACUGAAUUUUGUUUGAUCUUUGGUCAGACCCAUAGUACUUAGAUUAGAGAUUAUCUAUGAAUACAGAGUCUUAGAGGUGUUUCCUCUAGGCCAACAGCUCCUCAAGAGCAUGGGUGGUAUCUUUUUUGUCCCGAGAGUGAAAGCCAGGCAUAGGGCAAGCAGAUAAGAGAUAAAAGGGAUAAUAAUUAUAAUUAUCUCUUUGGUUGAAUUCACAAUCAGCUAUCUACCACCUUCUUUACAUAUAUAUUUUUGUAAUAUUUUUUGCUCACCACCUUCUUUACAUAUAUAUUUUUCUGUUACUAAUCUGGGGUAAGAUAAAACUGUGUUAGUGUUGUGAGGCUUGAGUGCUGUCCUAAUAUUAUUUUAAAACAUUAAAGAUG
rnacentral:lncRNA from 1 species